rnacentral:rRNA from 1 species
UACAGAGGGUGCGGGCGUUGUCCGGAAUCACUGGGCGUAAAGGGCGCGUAGGUGGUGGCUUAAGCGUGCGGUGAAAGCUCGGGGCUCAACCCCGAGUCGGCCGUGCGAACUGGGCUCACUGGAGCAUAGUAGAGGCAGGUGGAAUUCCGGGUGUAGCGGUGGAAUGCGUAGAGAUCCGGAAGAACACCGGUGGCGAAGGCGGCCUGCUGGGCUAUGGCUGACACUGAGGCGCGACAGCGUGGGGAGCAAACAGG